rnacentral:rRNA from 1 species
UACGUAGGGUGCGAGCGUUAAUCGGAAUUACUGGGCGUAAAGCGUGCGCAGGCGGUUUUGUAAGCCAGAUGUGAAAUCCCCGGGCUUAACCUGGGAAUGGCAUUUGGGACUGCAAGGCUGGAGUGCGGCAGAGGAGACUGGAAUUCCUGGUGUAGCAGUGAAAUGCGUAGAGAUGUGGAGGAACACCGAUGGCGAAGGCAGCCCCCUGGGCUGAGAUUGACGCUCAGGCACGAAAGCGUGGGGAGCAAACAGG